CAAGUUGAAUUUUAGGUCAGCCUAAGGGCAUCACUACAUUUCUGCUGCAUUCCAUCAUCUGCUCACAUAGAAAUAUCCAACAAAAGAAGCCUCUUAUCAAUAUGUUUGACUCGUUGCUCUAUCUCGCUGAGUAUUGGGAGUAAUCAGGGCAGUCCUUUGACACCAAUUUCAUGGUCGUCAGUGGUAUGCACGGUCACAGAAAGUUGAGCAUUUGUUGGUGAUUAAUUUUUUUCUCUCAAGUCCCCCUCAGUCCUUGCACCAGCUCUGAUCUAUGAUGGCUAACUGAAAUGAAGCUGCUCAUUAAAAACUUUAGAUGGGUGUUUUGAAGAAUUUUUUUUUUUCCUUUUACUUAAUACUAACAAAAAUGGGACCAAACAGACACUUUUUUGUAGUGUGCAGUGGACCCUUCUGGUGUAUGCCUACCCAAACUUUCACUUCACCAUUAAUUGUCCAUCUGUUUAACCUCCCAUGUUUCUCAGCAGAGUACUUUUGACUAAUUCGAGCUUCAUUCGGUUGCCUCCAUAUGCAUUAUGUCCUGUCUUCACUGGAAAAUCACUCUUCCAAAUGGGCUCUGUGCCAGGGGAAUGUUUUUUUCUGUUUCGUACAACCACCAUUCUUUGAAGAUAUCCUCCAAAACAAACUGGAAUAACUUCUAAUCACCACAAGGCCGCCUGUGGAUUCUUCUCCGCCUGACUUGUAUUGGGGAGAACGAAUGCAGCUGGGCAUCCUAAUUAGAGGACGCCUCAGUGAGGUGAAAUGAUUGAAUGAUGUCAACCACAGUAAACUAACACUCUAAUCACUCUCAUCCACAGCUGCUUGGGACUGAGGUUGAGCAAGAGGUCCUCAAGUUGUUGCUCAGCAUGAGUUUCCUUACAGCGUCAGAUCAGAAGGGAUGAAUAGUAGAUAGCCAAGUUUGCGUCAAACGUGGCUCCUGAAUGCACUGUUGAUUGACAAGUGGCAACUAGUGUCUCCAUGCCUACUGUGACUCUCCUGCUGUUUAUGCUGUCUGUUUGAAGCUUUGCAAAUCUUGGCUUUGCUU
ensembl:lncRNA